UCGCUGGAUGUGUGUGGCAAGUACCGUGAAUUGCUUCUAUCAUUUGUGGAAAUGCUGCACUACUUGCUCAGAAUGCUAUGGAUAGUGAGACUGAGACUUUCUUAUGAAAGCCGGAUUGCUAGAAGAUGCCGUUUUCAGAUGAGAGUAGAGUAUGAUUAGAAGAUUUCAGACUUUUCUGCCUAUUGUGAUGUACUUCUGCAGGUUUAAGUUUUAAGCCAGUACCAGACAGAGGAGUCCUGAGAAAUAGUCCUACUGAUUACCAACUAAGUGAAACACAUAAGGGCCGGGUUUUUAUGUUAAUUGCUGAAAAUUGUGAUCAAGUAGGUUAAAUGUAAGGGACUUCCGUUAGUUUUUUAUUAUAAACGAAAAUAAAAAAUCUAUCUCAUCUUCUAUAAAAUACUUUAAUCUUCUCUUUUCUGCAUCUCUAUAACCCUAGAUUUCUUUUGACCGUCUGUUGGUUAGUUAUCUACUGUUAUUCUUGUGAAAGUAGUUGUGUUUUGUUGUUUGAUUUUGUCUCCUUUUACUCUUUAGUUUAGAUCGGACUUUAUAUGUGUAGAUCUGAAGUGUAUAUGAUCUGUUGGUGCUUUAUUCUGAUAAUUGUCUACAGAUCUGCUGUUUUACAUAAUGUUUGUAUAGCCUUAUGUUGUUUUGAUCAUUACAUAAAAAAUCUGAACAGUCCCAACGUUCACGUCAAGUCGGGUACAGAUAGUCGAGCUUACGAGAAGAUGUUGUUAAUUGCCGAAAAUUGUAAUCAAGUAGGUUAAAUGUAAGGGACUUCCAUUAGUUUUCUAUUAUGAACAAAAAUAAAAAUCUGUCUCAUCUUCUAUAUAAUACUUUCAUCUUCUCUUUUCUGCAUCU